rnacentral:rRNA from 1 species
UAUAUAAGCCGCUUAAAAAUUACCCUCUAACCGAAGAGUGUUAGAUAGCGUCGAAGGACAAGAAGACCCUAUAGAGCUUAAUUUAAAUAAAUAUAAAAAAUUUACUAAAAUUCGGUUGGGGCGACCAGGGAACUACACAUCAUCCCUAAAUAAAAGAUAAAUAUAUCAAAAUACUGACCCUUAUACAAGAUCACUAAAACAAGCUACCUUAGGGAUAACAGGCUAAUCUCACUGGAGAGUCCUUAUCAAUAGUGAGGAUUGGCACCUCGAUGUUGGCUUAGGGAAUCUCUAUGACGCAAAAGUCAUAUAAAGAUGGUUUGUUCAACCAAUAACACCCUACAUGAGCUGAGUUCAGACCGGCGUAAGCCAGGUUAGUUUCUAUCCUCGAUCACUCUAUCUAUUUAUAGUACGAAAGGACCUAACUAGAGUAAUAUUUAUACACAGGGAAUAAAUAUAAACCAGUAAUAAGUAAAAUAAAUCAUAAACUAUGAGUAAGUUGGCAGAAUAGUGCCACC